rnacentral:rRNA from 1 species
AUUGAACGCUGGCGGCAGGCCUAACACAUGCAAGUCGAACGGAGCGGCGGACGGGUGAGUAAUAUAUCGGAACGUGCCUAAUAGCGGGGGAUAACUACUCGAAAGAGUGGCUAAUACCGCAUACUAUCGGAGCGGCCGAUAUCGGAUUAGCUAGUUGGUGGGGUAAAGGCUUACCAAGGCAACGAUCCGUAGCUGGUUUGAGAGGACGAUCAGACACACUGGGACUGAGACACGGCCCAGACUCCUACGGGAGGCAGCAGUGGGGAAUAUUGGACAAUGGGGGAAAGCCUGAUCCAGCCAUGCCGCGUGUAUGAUGAAGGCCUUCGGGUUGUAAAGUACUUUUGGCAGAGAAGCGUUAUCUACAGAAGAAGCACCGGCUAACUCCGUGCCAGCCGCCGCGGUAAUAC